UACGGGAGGCAGCAGUGGGGAAUAUUGCACAAUGGGCGCAAGCCUGAUGCGAGCCAUGCCGCGUGUAUGAAGAAGGCCUUCGGGUUGUAAAGUACUUUCAGUCGUGAGGAAGGUGUUAAGGUUAAUAACCUUAGCAAUUGACGUUAGCGACAGAAGAAGCACCGGCUAACUCCGUGCCAGCAGCCGCGGUAAUACGGAGGGUGCGAGCGUUAAUCGGAAUUACUGGGCGUAAAGGGCACGCAGGCGGUUAAUUAAGUUGGAUGUGAAAUCCCCGGGCUUAACCUGGGAAUGGCAUUCAAGACUGGUUAGCUAGAGUCUUGUAGAGGGGGUAGAAUUCCAUGUGUAGCGGUGAAAUGCGUAGAGAUGUGGAGGAAUACCGGUGGCGAAGGCGGCCCCUGGACAAAGACUGACGCUCAUGUGCGAAAGCGUGGGGAGCAAACAGGGAUUAGAUACC
rnacentral:rRNA from 1 species